UACAGAGGGUGCGAGCGUUAAUCGGAAUUACUGGGCGUAAAGCGCAUGCAGAUGGCUUUGUAAGUCGGAUGUGAAAUCCCCGGGCUUAACCUGGGAACGGCACUCGAAACUGCAAGGCUAGAAUGUGGAAGAGGGAAGUGGAAUUCCGGGUGUAGCAGUGAAAUGCGUAGAUAUCCGGAGGAACAUCAGUGGCGAAGGCGACUUCCUGGUCCAACAUUGACAUUCAGAUGCGAAAGCGUGGGGAGCAAACAGGAUUAGAUACCCUGGUAGUCCACGCCUUAAACGAUGCGAACUAGAUGUCGGAGGGGUCAGCCUUUCGGUGUCGCAGCUAACGCGAUAAGUUCGCCGCCUGGGGAGUACGGCCGCAAGGUUG
rnacentral:rRNA from 1 species